GUCGACAGGCAUACCACCCUGAAGGUGCCUGAUCUCGUUCGGCCUCGGAAGCUAAGGAGGGUCGCGCCUGGUGAGUACUUGGAUGGGAGAAGUCACCUUUUUUGGGU
rnacentral:rRNA from 1 species